CCUUCUUCUGCUUAUUAAUAUACCUCGUAGUUAAUACGUCCGCUGCUUGUUACGGUUCAUAUUGUGUUUUUGAUAUCACAAUUAAAUUGCGAUUUACAAAUUAUUUAACAUUCAUGAUUUAGCAAUAUGAAGAUUGAUCACAAAUAUUAAGAAGAUGAUUUGCCAUUUCAGUGUUGAUUUUGAGUGGAAAACAAGUGUGUAUUUUUUCGGAAGUAUUUUCAGUGAUUGAUAAAGAGUGUUAACCAGGAAUUUCAUGGCGCUCAAUAAAAUUCAUUACAUGCAGUUUACUUAUGUUGUUUCCUUGGUUCCUUUCCGAGUAUGUAUUGAUAAUUGAAUGGGAUUACUCAAAUGGUUUAGUUGUAGGAAGUCGACAAGGGCCAUAAAUUACCAGAAAAGAGGAACACGUUUCAGAGCCUCAACAGAAAGGGAGUCAGUUGAUAAAAAGAAUUGUUUUUGGGUUUAGGAUUGCAAUUUCUGUUGGAGGCGCUGUCUUGGCUGGAGGAUGGGUUCUUACUGUGGGUUUGGCAGUUGCUGCAUUUGUUGGUGCACGAGAGUACUUUGAAUUGGUUAGAAGUCGUGGAAUUGCAUCGGGGAUGACACCUCCUCAUCGUCACGCUUCACGAAUUUGCUCCGUUAUAUGGUCUCUCAUGCCUCUUAUUACGUUGUCAGCAACUUGCCUUAAUUUCAGGUAUUUUGGUUUGAUUGACAUUCCAGUGACUUUUGCUGCUUUUGUUGUGUCCAAAGAAGGAAUCCCCCCUUUGCUCAGCUUAGUGGUACUAUGUUUGGGUUACUUUAUUGAGGCUCUCUUCCUUGUUUCUGGAUCAAGCUGUGAUUCGGGUUGGCAGUCCCAGCCUUGAAUACUAGAAUAGGAGCAUCAUGGCCUGUUCUUUUUGGCAGCCAAGCUCAUUGGACAGUGGACGUUAUGGCAUCCCUGAUUUAUAUUAGCAGCAUUAUAGCUGCUGAUACAUGUGCAUUUAUAGGUGGCAAGGUACUUGGACUUUUGAAAUAGUCAGCAGGUUUCUAGCUUCACUGAGAUAUCAGUAUACCAGAAGCAAUGAUUAUCAUAUCUGGUGGUAUAUGCAAAGGAAUGUCAACCAAAAUGAAAACAUGUGUGUGCAUAGAUGUAAACACAUUUGUCUGCAUGUGUAUUGCCUCCUGUUUUCAUAACAAUUUGUUUUGCCAGCCAUUCAUUUGUAAAAUGUACUACUAUUAUGACUCAUUUGGUGUUUUAGCCUUAACAAAACUCUUUACCUUUCAAGAAACUUGGGUCAAAUCUGUUAUUCCUAAAGCCUAUUACAAUUUAAGAAUAGUUUAUAUUGAAAUUUUUUCCCCAAAUUAUCGAGUUUCUCACUCAUAAUAAAAAUUUCUGUGCAGUAUUUUCCACUCUGAACUGAGAUUGUAAUAUCAAAAGUCAAAGCUACUUUCGACAGAAAUGUAAUUAUAAUAUAUGAAUAAUGUGUCAAAAAAGAGAAUUUCUGACUUAAUGAAACAUGCCAAGUAUUCAUUUUACCUGGUUGAUUGUCAGAAUUAUGUCGUCCAGUUAAGAAAUGGUGCAUCAUCAUAUUUUUUUGUUCUCAUUCUAAUUAUGUGAUUUCCUCUUUCUUUUCUUUUACUUUCAAGGUAUCAAAUCUUCCUCUGCUGGAGUCUUAAGUUAUUGUAGUGUAGCCAACAUCAUUUUAAAAUAUUUUCUCGCACACAGGCACACAAUCAAUCAAACAGAUUUCCUAUGGAUAAUGCUUUUGUAGGUCAAUAAUUCCAGGAAGCAUCAAUAAAAGCAGGCCCAUUAAGAAUGCGAAGAUUUACAGUUUCCUAGAUUAUCCACUGGAAUUGUAUAAUAAUAAGAAAAUAUUGCACUGUAUAUGUUAUUAAUAUGCAUAAAUGUCUCAGUUGUGUGUCUAUAUGUGUAAAUAGGAUCAUGUUCAAAUUCUUUAAAUCUCAGUGGUUAAAACAAUGGACAAUGUAAAUAAACUAGGAUAGUUAUUUUCAGUGGCUUUCUUGAGCAAAUUGUUAUUGCUUUGUAAGGCAUGCCUGAUAUCUACAUGGAAGGAGUUGAGUGUUGGACAUGCAUAUUUUUUUCCCUUUGUAAGUGUUAAUUACCAAUUUUAAUGUGGUAUUACUAUGUGAUCUUACUUCAUGUGUUUAGAUGGAUGCUUUGCAAUGCCCCUGUAAAUAGCUGAUGUUAGUUACAGAACUAAUGUGGAACUAUGAUGUGGCGUCUUAUUUUGCAUGUUUCGCGGUGUUGAUAUUGCUUCUGCAUUUUUGCCGAUUUAGAAAUUAGAAAGUAAUCCUGGAAAGUGAUGUUCAAUCAACAUAAAAAAGAUGAGCAAAAUGUGAACUUUCAUCAUUUAUUCAUUUGGAAUAUAUCAAAGUGAAUUUGACAUAUCCUCUCUAAUGGUUGUCAGUGUUUGGUUUUUCUUAAUUUAUUUGGGUCCAGCUUUGGUGAUUUUAUAGAAUCUACGAUCAAGCGAGAUGCAGGUGUCAAAGACUCCAUCUCUCAUGCCUGGACAUGGUAAUGACUUUCAGCUCAUGUUUAAUUUCUCUGAUCAGACAUCGUCUGGAAGAAUAUUUUUCCAUGUGAUACUUGUUUUGUCUUUCUUUUAUUGUCACAAGAGAAUAGAGCAUCAAAUCGUCAUGGCUUAAGAUCAUUAGAUUCAUUACUUUUAAACCUACCUUCACUCUUUUUUUUGAAAGAUAUGUAACUGGUUUAAUAUGUUGUUUGUGUGCUUAAAGAAUCUCUGCAGUUGCCUUUUUUUUUCUCCAUAUGACAAUUUAGGUUCUGCACUGCCCCGACCCGGAGAAAAGGGAGAGCAAUGUAGCGUUAAUUGAUUAAUUAAAGUUACCAUAUCCGUAAAUGAUCUCUACGUCAUAAUGUUCUUAAAUUAAAGGUUUUAUGAAUAUAUUAUCAAACCCUAAACUUGCAACUGAAAGGUCCGGUUAUGUGUACUCCAAUUCUAUUGAUGAUUCGAAACUCGAGACAAUACAAACAGAAAUUUGUUUUCAAAAGAGGAGACAUGGAGAUGGAAAGCUAUCUCUAGGUACUUGGAAAUGCAGGGAUAAAGAGACGUGUUAGGUUGAAGAAGAAACAGGAGAGCAAGUGAAGUGGUACUGAUUUUCUUUUAUCCAUCUCCAUUUCUCUGUGUGAAAGAACUACAUUGGAUCUGUUUGUGUCUUUGCAGCAUACUCCCUCUUAAUCUUCUUUUCCAAACCCCUGAAAAGCAAAGAUUGAAAAAUCGAAUGAUGAAGUACUUUUUUCUUUGGAGUCGAGUCCUGCCUGUUUGCAGUAUGACUAUUCUUUUAACGUGUUAAAAAUAACAAGCAUCAGUAUUUGAUUUUGCUCUUUGUAAAAGCUUGUUAUUUUUCAAUUUAUUGUCAGAAUGAUUCUAGAUGGUAAUCUAAUUCAUUUCAGUUUUCAUAUAUCCUUUUUUCUUUUUGGAAAAAAAGAAAUCUACUAGUUCUUUAAAAACUGACCUACAUACAGGUGUGGAAUACCGGACCGAGUGGACAGCUACAUUUUUCAAAUGUGCACUUGCAUACUCAUUCGUCAAAACCUUCCAAUCACAGUAUGGAGUUUGACGUGAAAAACUGUGAUAAAAAUAAAGAAAAAAGCACAUAGUUGAUUAAAAUCAGGGCAUCUAUGGGGCAUACAGAAAAAGCUUUCUUCUUCUAAAAAUCUCAUAGAAUGUUUCUGGGACUAGAUGAGCUGAUAGGCAAGUCGUACCAGGUAUGCAUGAUCAUCAACUGGAAAAAUAUUCAAUAGAAUACCUAGCUCCUUUCGUCCUGAGGUCAAUGUAGUGCUUUGCUCUUUAACCAGAUGUUUAUGGGCCUUUGUGAUGUCUGCAGUACAGGUAGUGCCAUCGUGUUUUUUUUUUUUUUUUUUAAUCGAAGGUAGUGCCUUCGUUGGCUGUGAACAUUUUAUUAUUUCAUGCGACCGCCAACGUCAGCUUGCAGUGUCGUUUUAUGCUGCAUUUUCUUUUCUAUCUGUGCCUGCAACAGUAAAAGCUAAGUCGAUUCUUUUUUUCCAAGUCUGAUGUUGCCGACCAAACAUUAGGGCCUAGUUUCUGUUCGGCCUGCUUACUUUGUAUCUUGUUUUUUUUUUCUUUUUCUUUUUUCUUUAGUAGAUAGUAGGAUUUAUUUUCUUUGGAAAACUUGUUCAGUUAUAUGUUUCUUGUUGUAAAGGUGAAUAAUGGAUAAUAUUGUCAAAUUUUAGCUAAUUUUUUUUUAAAAAAUAAACAAAUAAAAGGUUAGUUUUCAGUUAUUUAAACAUUGGCAUAUAUAAUUUUGAAAUUCUGCUUUAAUGAUUUCAUUAUUUAAAAAUUGGCUUACAUAAUAGAGUUUCUCAAGUUUAGGCCUGGCCGACAACUUGAAUUUGAUCGAAAUCGGUGGUUUUUGAAAGGAUUCCUGAUUUUAAUUGCAGCCUAAUUUAAUUUAAUCAAUAGCUUUCAAACAUUUUCUACUUCAAAUUUUCUGAAAGAAAAAACAAAUCUUAUUUUAGUUCAAAAUUGAGUUGCUCGGUUCAAAAACGGUUUUAAUAAAAUUCAAAUUUGAUUGGUUGGAUGUAAAUCAUAUUGGUUUUGAUUUUAAAUUAGCCCAUGAUCAGAACUACUGGGUUGGAAUACUUAGGGCCAUGAAUUACUAGAGUUGGAAAUUGAAAUCGUAAACCUGCACUAGAUUUUUCAAUCAGUUCCAAAUUUUUCAAUCAGUUCAACUGCAAUUUACGUUAUAAUGUGAUGUAUAUAAAAUUAAGUAAGAAUUAUCUGCAAAUAAUAACAUCAC